GGAGCUACAAAGCCAAGGCAAGACAGCAAGCAGUCUCUUGGAAAAAUUUUUCAUUGGCUUGGUCCUUAUUGUUAGGAUCCAGCCCAAGGAAUAAUUUGGUUUUCUAGAGUAAAACAUGAUCAAAUCUCAUAAUAUAUGUGCAUCUUUUUUUUUGGCUGCAGAGACCUUCCUGUUCCAGGACGGGAGUUAUCAGGUGUCCAUUUUGCC
rnacentral:misc_RNA from 1 species